AGUACACCCUUGGCUCCAUGACCCAAUAGCAUUAUCUCAGUUAAUAAUGGGGUUAUGUUUCAUCAACCAGGGAAAUCCCAAGACGACUGGAAAGGCUGGAGAGUAGAUCAAUUGGAGUAAGGUGAUUUCCUCGUAUAAGAUGCCAAUGGCUAAUUUUACAGGUAUUGUUUCAUGGGAAAUCACAGGCUCCGACAGUGAUCUACCAGCUAUGGCCUCAACGGCCAAGGGUGUAGCUCUUAACCUGGAGGGAAGAGAAUGGCUAUCAGCAAAGGCCUGAUCUAUGAAACUCUCUGCUGCUCC